rnacentral:lncRNA from 1 species
CACCCGCCCACACGGUUUGCCGUGUUUUCACCCUUCUUUGUUCUCCACCGGUCUGGGCAGGGUCUGAGGACUCCGGAGAGCAAGGCAUGGGUCCGCCUCGUGCCGCAGGGAUUUGAGGACACACGCCAGCUGCCUACACCUGAAGAAAGGGUGAGCUCUGAGGACUUCACAGGGGCCCCAUCCCCUCACCUAGAUGAGGGCUAACCUUGGAAUCCAGACAAAGGUGGAAGUGACCUAGAUGUGACCUGAAUGAGCUAAUCAUCUAAUGAGAGCCAGCCCUUUGUCCUGCCCACAUGAAGGUGGGUGGUUAGCUCACUUUUCAGGGUAAUAAAGCAGUAAAGGCGGGGUGGAGGGGUUGUUGAAGGCUUUGUAUGAUGUCACUAGGGCCUGUAAAGUUAGCACAAUGAACCCGCUGUGCAGAUUGUAAAGCUGACCUUGUUGGAAUAUCCUGGUUUUAGAAACACAUAAAUCAGCUUUGUGUUUGCUGUUCCCCUGCUGAAAAUGUUCUUCUGAAUUUUCAGGGCUUUGCUGCUACGCACUGACAAGUUGGACGGCUUUUUAUUGCUUUGUUGCCAGUUAUCUGAACAUGAGAGGCUGUAAGGUGUAAUCUGCGAGCCCUGCGCCCAGACUGAACCAGGGCCUCCCUUGAACAUGAGUAUUAGACAAAUGAAAUAAGAACUUAUCUUGCCCAGACUAUAUAAUGGCUUGGAAAUGCAUAGUUUCCUGAACGAUCUCAAUAAAAUACUUUUAAAAGUACUUAAAUAGACUUUUUCUGUGUCACUUUGUGGGGAGGUGUGAGAAGAUAUAGGAGCUAGUCAUUUCAUGUGUCUGGUUCCUGGUCCCUUAACAGCAUCUGUUCUGGAAGUACAGAUGAAAAUUCUAUACAGACCUGUAAGGCUGACCAUAGUUUUAGCAGAUUAGCAU